rnacentral:rRNA from 1 species
GAACGCUGGCGGCGGGCUUAACACAUGCAAGUCGAACGAGAACGCGUCCUUCGGGGCGCAAGUACAGUGGCGCACGGGUGAGUAACGCGUAGGCAACCUGCCCUCGAGUGGGGAAUAACUAUCGGAAACGGUAGCUAAUACCGCAUGAAGUCCUGAACUGCAUGGUUCAGGAUGAAAGUCUUCGGAUACUCGGGGAUGGGCCUGCGUCGGAUUAUGCUUGUAGGUAGGGUAACAGCCUACCUAGGCUACGAUCCGUAGCUGGUCUGAGAGGACGAUCAGCCACACUGGCACUGAGAUACGGGCCAGACUUUCUACGGAAGGCAGCAGUGGGGAAUCUUGGGCAAUGGGCGAAAGCCUGACCCAGCCACGCCGCGUGGAGGAAGACACCCCUACCGGGCGUAAACUCCUUUUUUACGGGAAGAAGACCUUCCUCGGGAAGGUUUGACGGUACCGUACGAAUAAGCACCGGCUAACUCCGUGCCAGCAGCCGCGGUAAUACGGAGGGUGCAAGCGUUGUCCGGAUUCACUGGGUGUA